CCAUUUCUAAAUUUCGAAACUACCCCAGGAGCUCAAGAUCGAAGCCCACCCACCGAACUUUCCAGGCCGCGGAGCCAGGCAGCGCCAUGCACCGCCGCGGCGAGGCGAGCCACCGGGGCCGGAGCUCCUCCCGCGGCCGAGGCUAGCGAGGACGACGCUGCCCCGAUCAUUGGCACCUGCACCGACAUGUGCCCAGACCAGGAAGGGAACGGGCGUAGAGGGACCUCGCCGUGCUCGAGCGGGUGGGCAGCGACCCCGCGCGCACGUCUCCUUCAAUUCCCUCGCCGUCACGAAGGUAACAUUUCAUAUUAGAUCCCAUCAGAGACUUGCUCGGCCUUGCCAGGAUUCAGAUGCAUCUUCAUUGUGUUCCCUAAACAUGGAGAAGCUAAGAAAAUGCCUGCUUUCUCAGUUUGAUUUGUAUCACACAAUCCAUCAUAGUGAUUCCCACAGCACAAGAGAGGCCGAAUAUUUUCCUUCUA